rnacentral:rRNA from 1 species
CGGAGGGUGCGAGCGUUAAUCGGAAUUACUGGGCGUAAAGCGUGCGCAGGCGGUUUGUUAAGAUAGGCGUGAAAUCCCCGGGCUCAACCUGGGAACUGCGCUUAUGACUGGCAAGCUAGAGUACGGCAGAGGGGGGUGGAAUUCCACGUGUAGCAGUGAAAUGCGUAGAGAUGUGGAGGAACACCAAUGGCGAAGGCAGCCCCCUGGGUCGAUACUGACGCUCAUGCACGAAAGCGUGGGUAGCAAACAGGAUUAGAUACCCUGGUAGUCCACGCCCUAAACGAUGGGUGCUAGACGUCGGAACAUUAGUUUCGGUGUCGCAGCUAACGCGUUAAGCACCCCGCCUGGGGAGUACGGUCGCAAGAUUA